rnacentral:rRNA from 1 species
UACGAAGGGGGCGAGCGUUGCUCGGAUUUACUGGGCGUAAAGGGCGCGUAGGCGGCCCUCCUUGUCGCGUGUGAAAGCCCCGGGCUCAACCUGGGAACGGCGCGCGAGACGGGGGGGCUGGAGUUCGGGAGAGGAGCGUGGAAUUCCCAGUGUAGAGGUGAAAUUCGUAGGUAUCGGGAGGAACACCGGUGGCGAAGGCGGCGACCUGGGUCGAUACUGACGCUGAGGUGCGAAAGCGUGGGGAGCAAACAGG